rnacentral:rRNA from 1 species
UACGUAGGGGCGAGCGUUGUCCGGAAUUAUUGGGCGUAAAGGGUGCGUAGGCGGCGCGGUAAGUCGGUUGUGAAAUCUCGGAGCUUAACUCCGAAACUGCAUUCGAUACUGCCGUGCUUGAGGACUGGAGAGGAGACUGGAAUUUACGGUGUAGCGGUGAAAUGCGUAGAUAUCGUAAGGAAGACCAGUGGCGAAGGCGGGUCUCUGGACAGUUCCUGACGCUGAGGCACGAAGGUCAGGGGAGCGAAACGGG